UACGUAGGGGGCAAGCGUUGUCCGGAAUUAUUGGGCGUAAAGAGCGUGUAGGCGGUCCGGUAAGUCGGCUGUGAAAGUCCAGGGCUCAACCCUGGGAUGCCGGUCGAUACUGCCGGACUAGAGUUCGGAAGAGGCGAGUGGAAUUCCCGGUGUAGCGGUGAAAUGCGCAGAUAUCGGGAGGAACACCAAUGGCGAAGGCAGCUCGCUGGGACGUUACUGACGCUGAGACGCGAAAGCGUGGGGAGCAAACAGG
rnacentral:rRNA from 1 species